ACCAGCACCUUCAUCCUCGGACCGUCGGGCACGUACCUGCCCGGAUAAGGAAAUGUAA
rnacentral:ncRNA from 1 species